GCGGGGAUAACUCAACCUGGGAGAGUGUCGGACUGAAGAUCCGAAUGUUGGGGGUUCAAAUCCCCCUCCCCGCACCA
rnacentral:tRNA from 1 species